AUAGUAACUGAUCGCAGUGACAGGCUUUCGCUGCGAUCAGAUUGCAGUGAGAAGCGGUCUCUGCAAUCAGAUCGCAGUGACAGCCUGUCACUGCGAUCAGACUC
rnacentral:miRNA from 1 species